rnacentral:rRNA from 1 species
AGGAAUAUUGGACAAUGGGGGGAACCCUGAUCCAGCCAUGCCGCGUGGAGGAAGACUGCCCUCUGGGUUGUAAACUCCUUUUAUAUGGGAAGAACCGUCCUCAUUGAUGAGUGACCUGACGGUACCAUAGGAAUAAGCACCGGCUAACUCCGUGCCAGCAGCCGCGGUAAUACGGAGGGUGCAAGCGUUAUCCGGAUUCACUGGGUUUAAAGGGCGCGCAGGCGGGAUAAAAAGUCAGUGGUGAAAUCCUACAGCUUAACUGUAGAACUGCCUUUGAUACUUUUAUUCUUGAGUUCGGGAGAGNGAGACGGAAUUCCAGGUGUAGUGAUGAAAUACGUAGAUAUCUGGAAGAACACCAGUUGCGAAGGCGGUCUCUUGGUCCGACACUGACGCUGAGGCGCGAAAGCGUGGGGAGCAAACA